UACGGAGGGUGCGAGCGUUGUCCGGAAUCACUGGGCGUAAAGGGCGCGUAGGUGGCGCGGGCAGUCAACGGUGAAAGCUCGGGGCUCAACCCCGAGUCGGCCGUCGAUACUCCCGUGCUUGAGCACUGUAGAGGCAGGUGGAAUUCCGGGUGUAGCGGUGGAAUGCGCAGAGUAUCAGGAGGAACACCGGUGGCGAAGGCGGUUCUCUGGGCAUGUCCUGACGCUGAGGAGCGAAAGUGUGGGGAGCGAACAGG
rnacentral:rRNA from 1 species